GCCCGCAAUCCCGCCGCGGCCGCCCGCAACCCUGCACGCCACCAAUCCCGCCGCGACCAAUCCCACCCGCACGCCCGCCCGCACCUCAAGCACCACGAAUCCCGCGUCUCCCCCGCCGCCGAACCCGCCUCCACCCGCACCCCGCCUGCGGAGCCGCUCCCCACCUCCGCCCGCCCGCCCGCGCCCGACCUCCGGAAACCCCGCCGUGCUUCCAACCGCCUCCUCAAACCACGCCGCAAACCCCACCGCACACAGCUUCACUUCCACCGCACAGAUCUACGUGUUCGGGGCCUUCUCGCCGCCGGCGACCAUGGCGCACCCCGCCUGCGGAGCCGCUCCCCACCUCCGCCCACCCGCCCGCCCAACCUCCAGAAAAAAAAGAGAAACCCACUGUCUCCGCUCCGACUAGCCCAGGCCAGCAGAAACCCACUGUCUCCGCUCCGACUCCCUUUUCCUCUCUCUCUCUCGUUCUCAUCCAUCCAGCCAGGCGAGCCAACAAGCAAGCAAAAGUAAACGGGGCGAGGAGCUGCGGCUGAGCAGGAGGAGGGAGCCGGAGAUGGUGGGUCUCGUCGGCGGCAGCACGGCGCGGGCGGAGCACGUCGUCGCCAACGCCGGAGGGGAGGCAGAGUACGUGCGCCGCAUGCACCGCCACGCGCCGACCGAGCACCAGUGCACCUCCACCCUCGUCAAGCACAUCAAGGCGCCCGUCCACCUCGUGUGGGAGCUGGUGCGGAGGUUCGACCAGCCGCAGCGGUACAAGCCAUUCGUCAGGAACUGCGUCGUGCGCGGGGACCAGCUCGAGGUGGGCAGCCUGCGCGACGUCAACGUCAAUCCCGGCCUUGAUAUGCCCGCGACUGUAGCUUGUGAAAUCAAGGCACAGCUUGUCCGCACAGCCGAGGCGGCUAGGCAGCUCGCGCCAAUGCUCGAAGUCGGGAGGCCAAGCUACCAAGGCCGCAGCUCAGUCUACCAAUCUUCCUCAAAGAUGAUGUCGGCUAUCUCCGUGGCUCAUUUGGGGUGCAAAGACAUGGACGUCGUGGACGUCGGAGUGGUAGGGAUGGUGGACUCGCAGAGCCUAUCCUCGGCACUUGAGAAACUCUAUUUCUGGGAGAGGAAGCUGUAUGCUGAGGUCAAGAUUGUAGGCUGUGGAGUACGGAGUUCACAAAAUCUAGGAGAUGAACAACCUCAGGGUAACCCUCUCAUUGUCUCAUGCCAGCAGCCGCACCCACGUCCUGUUCUGUCUCGCACGCUCUCGCCAACUUGUGGUUGUCCAUCCGCCGCCAAGCACCCGACCCCAGCAGUCGCAAUGUCAGUGUUUUUCUUUCACAGCAAGCUUCUGUUCUGAAAUUAUAUUGUCUAUGAUUUGUAACUUGCUUGGUGGUAUCAACAAGCUUUUGUCUGGUCCUUGAUCGGGUAGGCGAUUGCGUUGUGCAUGGCGGACUUGAGACAGUUGAUGGUUUGUCCGAAGCAUUGGAAAUCUGAGAAUUACUUCUGUGAAAAUUAUACGGAACAAGCAGACUGGGCACUCAGAAGGCUAUGGUUUUAUUGAGUUUUCCUCUCGAGCUACUGCAGAACAUACUCUGAUAAACUUCAAUCGGCAGAUGAUGUCGAAUGUUGAGAUGACUUUUAAGCUGAACUGGGCUUCUGCUAGCACUGGUGAUAAGCGUGGAGAUAGUGGUUCUGAUCACACAAUAUUUGUUGGUGAUUUGGCUCAUGGUGUUACUGACUCCAUGUUGGAAGAUGUGUUCAGAGCUAAGUACCCUUCAGUUAGAGGAGCUAAUGUUGUUGUUGAUACUUGAUAGGAUGACUGGAUGGCCCAAAGGAUAUGGUUUCGUGCGUUUUGGAGAUCUGAAUAAUGCAUUGUGAAGAUGUACAUUUGUGCUUGUUUGAUCUGAAAAGGGGACAACUUUUAGAUAUAGCAUAAUAGGAUAUGAAGAUGAAAGAUCUGUACUUAGAAAUUUGUUCAUGAAUGCUUUGUUUGACAUUUAACUUCGUAUGCUGGCAUCUCAGUGUAUUAAGUGUUAAUGUUACAAUUAUUCUUGGAUCAACACCAUUCGAGUA